CCAGGAACUCCCCAACCAGGAUGCAGUGAAAUGGAAUGAGAGGGAAUAGCGGAGGUGAGGUGGAGGGGGGUUACCUCCACUUCCUUUUCAUCCCCCCCUCCUCUCCCUGUAGUCCCACCACAGCACUCCCACAACCUCCCAUACCAGCACUCAGCAGAAAGUUUGACUGGAAAGCAGGAAAACAAUAAGGGCCUGGUGUUUUCUGACGGUUGAGGAUGUAGGUAUCAAGGGAGAUGGACUGUGGAAAGGGUUCCAACAGAUUUUCCUUGGAGAGAGAAAACCCCAAGAAAGCAAAGAAAGGAACAUGACAUCAUAUGAUCGACUCAGAUGCACAGAUGUUGGUUUUCUGCAGCUGUUCCAACAAGCUCUGUUUAAUGAGUACAGUGCUGUUUGAUGCAGGAUUUUUAACAAGUAAGUCUAGUAUGGAACAGUACAUCCAUGCCUCCGCCCUUGCAUUCUCUCGUUUUGGGAACGUACUGUGGAACAUAGUGAAAUUAGCCUGAGAUCUUCAAUGUACCCUUGAUGUUUGGUCAAAGACAAUGGCGCAAACACUUUCAUUCAUAGUAUACUUUAAACAGUAGAUCAAACGAUUAAAACUAAGAAAUGAAACUGCAUUUUGAGUGAUUCUUGCACUGAUUAAAUUCAAUGAAAGUUUCUAGCAUCAAGUACAAGAUGGAAAUAUCAUUAACUGAUCGAAAAAGGUCAAGGACCAGCUCUGAAAAGAUUGAUUUGUGGCAUCUAGGCCAAGCCUGAAAAAGGUUUUCAAAGGGUCAGUGAUGUCUUUCAAAGAAGUGUCCCCAAGGCUACAAAGCGGAAUAACCCGAAACAGUGACGGAAUUACGACAUCUAGGAUUUCAGAGGAGGGCAACGAAUUUAUAGAAUAGAAUGGUUCUGCUUCUUUUCAGCAUGCAGGCGUUCGUGAAGGGUCACACUCAACAACACAGGACAAAGGGCAAAUCUCUAGCUCUGGACUCCAGUUGUGUGCAUCUGGGGCCUCAGCAGAGCCUGAGAGCACGACUCCCUACAGGGACCAAAGGCACCCACACACAGUCAAAUGUCAAGCACAGAGGAGGGCGAGAGAAUCGACGCCAAAAAGGGGAGGCGAAGACAAAACAUGUUUUAUAGUGGUGGUGAACUUGGGAGUGGCACGCUUGAAAGGGCAAGGCUCGACACUGUGACACUGAGCACUACCACGCACAUUCCCCAACAGUUGCUGGGAGAAAACACAAUGCUGGCACUCUUCUGCCAUACAUCUGUAAUUUCCUCCGCCAUCUCCCUGCUUCUGUCAGCAUACAAGAUUUUGGAUCAAGACUUGGAGGUUUUUGAGAUGAUUUUUGGGGCCAAAUAUGCAGGCGAGCCUCUUUAUGGAUCAACUUACAUCACUGAUUGAUGAUCUCAUGAUGAACCAUCAAUGAACAAUUAUUUUUGGGGUUUCUGAGAAACCCUUGUUCAGACUUUUUCCAACUUUCCAAGGAUCCCAAUUCUCUGUUAGGAUUACAAGAACAUUAGCUUUUGUUCAGGUGUACACGUGUGAGCCUUUCCAAUAUUUCUAAAGCCCCAUAAGGAUUAACUGAGUGAAUGAGACACAGGAACCUGAUGCACAAAAGACCCAGGUCAGGUUUGGGUUGACUAACCUGUAUUUCUUGUCAGAAGUGAAAUAAAAGCUUUGUUGAGAGGUUUAUCCCCUCGGGAACACUGCUAUUUCCAGAUUGAAUGGAUUCAAAUACUAUUUAAGCAUUUACUUCAGAUAGCUUUUCCAGAUGUUACAUUUGUAAAAGCACUGCAGCACAUAUAUGCAAUUACAGACACUGCUUUAGGUAUUGUGUAAUAUUCCAAUUAUAUACUGACUGAAAUGAUCUUGAAUUCCCAGUGGCAAUGCAGUUACAAAGUCUAUGACCUGUAGAUAUGCUGCAUGAAUUCAUAAAUAAAAAAGGUUCAUAAUUGUAUUUUAUGGCUCUACUAAAAUAGGUUUAGAUGUUUUAAUGUUCAAAAAACAAAUUUUUCUCAUACUGCCUAUAGCUGAGCACCUAUUUUCAGCCUCUGUCUGAAACGAUCGGUUUUAGCUCCUGUCUUUUUAAGGCCCCCCUCCCGAAAAGCCCAGUCUGCUCUGAUUGGUAGGCAUUAUGACGCGGAUGACGCUCCGGCCCCUCCCACUUCCGCCUCAGCGUUCCGUUGUUUUCGGGCAGUUAGCUCCUCACUGCUACUGAGUUUAGCUGCAUUUCUACCGUCAAUAUUAAUUCAAUAACUGCUUCUAAACCAAAAACUUCACCACCGGACAUGUUAGAGCGGGAGUCUGACCUGAAAUCACGGAGAAAUGAACAACAUCAACAAUCAGGAUUACAGCUUUCUGUGACGUUUUCCACAGGUACAGCAGUGAGCAGUGACCUACAGUCUACACAGCCCAGUGAAGUUAAACAUAUUAUAUGCCUGCAAUACUUUAUCCUCUACAACAUGUCAACAUAACUGAAGGAAUUACUCAUCUAAUAAAGUAACUUGUCUAUGUGGUUUAAAAACUGCUAGUCUGAAUGAACGAAUAGUCUGAUAUUUUAACUUGAAAGUAUUAUUACCAAAGUUAACCUUCAGAUAUGUAAAAGCUGCAAUUAUGUUUGAACCCCAUUAAAAAUACUGUAUAUAUACACACUGAAUAAUCUAUAAUUUAUAUUAUAUAUUAUGAUGUCAUUUAUCUUCCAACAUAAUAAAGUUUGAAUGUGAGACAGUAA